AUGUCCCCAGCAAUGAAAUACGCAAAAGUAAUGAUCUUCAUCCAUUUCCUAAUGGUCUUCCCAGCAGACAUUUCCUCACAACAGAUCAGUCUUGCAGAGUCUGGUGGUGGUACCAAGAGACCAGGAGAGACUCUACGCUUGACCUGUACAGUUUCUGGGUUUUCUUUAUCAAGCUACUAUGUGGACUGGAUCCGUCAGCCACCAGGAAAAGGGCUGGAGUGGAUUGGACGUAUUGCCCAUGGUUACAGCGCGGACUAUAACAGCGCUUUGCAAAAUCGGAUCAGUAUCACUCUGGACAACUCAAGAAAUCAGGUGUUCCUCCAGAUGAACAGUCUGAAGCCUGAAGAUACUGGCAUGUACUAUUGUGCAAGAGUGAGUGACACAGUGAGAAAAGAGUGA